UGCCAAUAGGUUAGCAUUAUGGUUAGUUCCAUGGAACACAGUACCAGGUAGUUUGAUGUCAUCUUCAAAAUAAUUCUGUUAUCUCUCCCCAACAAUCUAUUUUUAUAACUUGGUUGUCUGAUUUCUCCAAUUCAAAUAAAAUCAAGUGUUCUUUCAAAAUAUCUAAAAACGUUUUUAAAGAAGAUAUUUUUAAAUUCCCAAAAUAAUUAGUGCUUUAUUUCAAGAAUAUUCCGUUGUGUGCUUCUUGUAAAUGCACUAUAAUUUUUCUUUUAAAGUUAUUUUUUAUCAAAAAUUAUUUCCAAAAUCAUUUUCAACCAAAAAAAAAAAAAAAAAAACUCUCAAACAUUUUAAUUUAACUUCCAAACCAGCCCGCAAUAUCUCCACCGCUUCUUCUUCCCCAGCGCGAAAUUGCUUCUAACGAGGAAUCUAUAACUACAAAAAGUCUGUAAGUCCCCCUUUGUUGUAGGGUUUUACGUUUUCUUCUCUUUGUCCUACAUCUUUUUCCAAAUCGCGGUCUUGUUUGGUUGCCGAGAAAAUGAGCGAAAUACUAUUGGACAAACAGUGAGAUGUUGGGGUUUUGCAUUUGAGUUUUCAAUUUUGUGACUCCGCCCAAAACCCUACCUUUGAUUUCCAAAUAAUAACAAUUUCGAGGUUUUCUUGAAAGUUGAUCCUUGUAAGGCCAGGAGUACGCUUGAUGUGACUACGGAAGAUGGCGGCGGCGCUCAACCGGAAGCUCCAUGGAAGCAAACAGGGCCUGGGGAGAAGGAGGCGCCAGUGCCCGAACAAGUGAAGAGAAUGCAGAAGCUUUCUGCACACAGCACUUACGUCACUCACCGGUUGCGGGUUCUCAACAAAAUUCUCCAGCUUUUGUCCAUUCAGAAAUAUGUGUAUGGAUGCAAUUCCUUUGGAGUUAAUGACUUGGAGCAUUCCUUGGUUUCAUAUGGAUGCUACUUUCUGAAAGCAGAAUCAGCAUGAACUUGGACCUCAUUUCUUGAAGUCCCCGAUUUUGUGGGAGAGCCAGGAUUAAAUCACAAUGUGGGCACAAUAAGAAACUCAAUAAGUUCUCCAGGAAAUAUUAAAAUGGAACAUAAGUUAUUCCAUUUAUUCAGUUUGUGUAUGAGACCUUUCUCCCAUGGCUUUAUAGCUGGCUUUGCCUUGGGAAUGAACCAGCGGUCAAGAAAGCUUCAUACAGGGGUUAUGCUUGGCUGAUCGCCACUAAAAAAGAGGAGGCAGCCACGACAGAAGGGAGAAAAAGGAAGGACCAGAGCACCGUUCUGCAAUUCGUCAUUGAAGAGUUUCUUCUUCUCCUUUUACUUUCUGUUUUGUUUGUCUUUGCUGCCCAUUUACAUUAUGAGUAACUAAAUUUCAUAGUUGGGACUUCGUUGAAGUCUAAUCAUGUUUCCUUGAGAAUUUUCGAUACAUCUUGUUAUAAGACAAUUUGUUGAUGCUUUAGUGAUAAAUUCUUGUUUUAAUUCCAAUCUUAUUGAGUUAUUUUAUGAUUGAUCAUCAUAGAAUAGCUUUGUAAUUGAGUUUGUUACAUAGGUAAAUUUGGAUGAUCGAUUCUUGUACCUAUGCCGAGUGACAAGAGAACUAGUUACGGUUCUUGGAAUUAAUUAUCACGAAUAACCGGAAUAGAUACCAUGUUCUAGGAUUCGUGUGUUUGUCGAUUUCCAUUGUAUUAUGCUUUCUUGGAGUGCAAUUAAAUAGAUACCAUGCGAAAUACUUCGAGAAUGAAAGGAGUUAGUGUAGACGCCCAUGCCUAAUUUGUUGUUUAGGGAAAUCAAUAGCUUAAAGAGUAAAUACCAUGCCUUUAGGUAGACAAACGUAAAGCAUAAAAAAUCUGUUUUAUAUGAUAGUAUGUAUCAGUUGCUUUGGCGAAAAAAGUUAGAGAUGAAAGUCAAAGUCCUAACCGUUCAAACAUCGUUUUCAAAACUCUUAUUGCCAAUUACUUUUAUUUACCUACGUUGUUUAAAUUGUGCUUUUAUAGUUAAACUUAAGAAAUUAUUUAUAUACUAAAAUCCAGUGGAAAAGUACUGUUUAUCAACAGUAAAAUGGUGGAAUCGCCCCCAAUCAGCUUUCCUUGACCCGUUGUUUUUCCAUCUUGGCACAGUGAAAUUACGCAUUUGUCCGCGUUGGCCACGAGUCCAUCAUCGUGUGAAACCUCUACUUUGGCUGCAGUUUCUCGAUUUGUCCAUCCGUUUCAGUUCUCCCUUUCGAAAAUCUCUGCUUCCGUUGCUCUCAACUUGCCUUCUGUCACUGUCAAACGCCGGAUAAGCUAUCGACCACCCGCUCUCUACCUUCUUCUUCUUCUUUCGCUUCUCCCUGUGCAAAUCUGAGAGACGCCUACCUUUGCUUUCCAAAUAAUAACAAUUUCGAGGUUUUCUGGAAAGUUGGCCGGAAGCUCCAUGGAAGCAAACAGGGCAUGGGGAGAAGGAGGCGCCAGUGCACGAACAAGUGAAGAGAAUGCAGAAGCUGCCUGCACACAGCACUUACGUCACUCACCGGUUGCGGGUUCUCAACAAAAUUCUCCAGCUUUUGUCCAUUCAGAAAUCUGUGUAUGGUAGUGAUCCUGGAGAUUAUAUCAUCAACUUGGCAUUCCAUUUGCCACUUUGGAGUUAAUGACUUGGAGCAUUCCUUGGUUUCAUAUGGAUGCAAUUCUACGAAAGCAGAAUCGGCAUGAUGAACUUUGGACCUCUUUUCUUGACGUCCCCGAGUUCGGUAACUUCAUUGUCGGUUUUUCUGUGUUUCUCAUAAUAUUCAUCUUGUUACUUCAUCCAUUGAGACUGUUCAUCAUCAAGGAGUUGAUGAGAAAGGAUUUGAACUCAUUUUUUGUUUGUUUUUGUUGUGUGAUUCUGAAGAACUGUACUUUAGAGUUCUUUACAUCUUAAACCAAGCUUUAUUUUUUGUUUGUUCGGGACUCUUACGAUUGUGUAUUUCUGCUGUCGUUUUGAAAACGAAAAAUGGCUUAAAGUAAUAGUGCAGGGGUUUGUGUGUUCGAGUUGUAUUCCCUUAAAAUCGCUUGUAUAAAACUAUAUGCAACAAGAAAAAACUGUUUUUCAUAUUAAUUGAGAGACUAACUUUGUGGUGGA